rnacentral:tRNA from 1 species
CGAAGCAUAGCUUAACCAAAGCACCCCGUUUACACCGGGAGAAUACCUGUGAGACCCAGGUUGUCUCGA